AUUGAACGCUGGCGGCAGGCCUAACACAUGCAAGUCGAACGAGUGGCGGACGGGUGAGUAAUGUCUGGGAAACUGCCCGAUGGAGGGGGGUAACUACUGGAAACGGUAGCUAAUACCGCAUACCAUCGGAUGUGCCCAGAUGGGAUUAGCUAGUAGGUGGGGUAACGGCUCACCUAGGCGACGAUCCCUAGCUGGUCUGAGAGGAUGACCCCCCCAACUGGAACGGAGACACGGUCCAACCUACUCCGUACAACAACAAUAAUUAAUAUUGCACAAUUGGCGCAAGCCGAAUUCAGCCAUGCCGCGUGUAUGAAUAAAGCCUUCGCAUUUUCAAGUACUUUCAGCGAGGAGGCGUUACUCGCAGAAGAAGCACCGGCGAACGCCGUGCCCGCAGCCGCGAAUUC
rnacentral:rRNA from 1 species